rnacentral:tRNA from 1 species
GCCGGGGUGGCGGAACGGUAGACGCCGCGGACUUAAAAUCCGCUGUCCACAAGGACGUGUGGGUUCGAAUCCCGCCCCCGGCACCA